rnacentral:tRNA from 1 species
GGGCGCUUGGUCUAGGGGUAUGAUUUUCGCUUCGCAUUGCCCAAAAUGUCUGUGAAAGGUCGUGGGUUCAAUUCCCACAGCGUCCA